AGAGUUUGAUCCUGGCUCAGGAUGAACGCUGGCGGCAUGCCUAAUACAUGCAAGUCGAACGAGAGGAAGGAAAGCUUGCUUUUCUGAAUCUAGUGGCGAACGGGUGAGUAACACGUAGGUAACCUGCCCAUGUGCCCGGGAUAACUUCUGGAAACGGAUGCUAAAACCGGAUAGGUAGCAGACAAGCAUUUGACUGCUAUUAAAGUGGCUAAGGCCAUGAACAUGGAUGGACCUGCGGUGCAUUAGCUAGUUGGUGAGGUAACGGCCCACCAAGGCGACGAUGCAUAGCCGGCCUGAGAGGGCGGACGGCCACAUUGGGACUGAGACACGGCCCAAACUCCUACGGGAGGCAGCAGUAGGGAAUUUUCGUCAAUGGGGGGAACCCUGAACGAGCAAUGCCGCGUGAGUGAGGAAGGUCUUCGGAUCGUAAAGCUCUGUUGUAAGAGAAAAACGACAUUCAUAGGGAAUGAUGAGUGAGUGAUGGUAUCUUACCAGAAAGUCACGGCUAACUACGUGCCAGCAGCCGCGGUAAUACGUAGGUGGCGAGCGUUAUCCGGAAUGAUUGGGCGUAAAGGGUGCGUAGGUGGCAGAACAAGUCUGGAGUAAAAGGUAUGGGCUCAACCCGUACUGGCUCUGGAAACUGAUCAGCUAGAGAACAGAAGAGGACGGCGGAACUCCAUGUGUAGCGGUAAAAUGCGUAGAUAUAUGGAAGAACACCGGUGGCGAAGGCGGCCGUCUGGUCUGGAUUCUGACACUGAAGCACGAAAGCGUGGGGAGCAAAUAGGAUUAGAUACCCUAGUAGUCCACGCCGUAAACGAUGAGAACUAGGUGUUGGGGGAAUAACUCAGUGCCGCAGUUAACGCAAUAAGUUCUCCGCCUGGGGAGUAUGCACGCAAGUGUGAAACUCAAAGGAAUUGACGGGGGCCCGCACAAGCGGUGGAGUAUGUGGUUUAAUUCGAAGCAACGCGAAGAACCUUACCAGGCCUUGACAUCCCUUGCAGAGGUAUAGAGAUAUAUCCGAGGUUAUCAAGGAGACAGGUGGUGCAUGGUUGUCGUCAGCUCGUGUCGUGAGAUGUUGGGUUAA
rnacentral:rRNA from 1 species